rnacentral:rRNA from 1 species
GAUGAACGCUGGCGGCGUGCCUAAUACAUGCAAGUCGAGCGAACAGACGAGGAGCUUGCUCCUCUGACGUUAGCGGCGGACGGGUGAGUAACACGUGGAUAACCUACCUAUAAGACUGGGAUAACUUCGGGAAACCGGAGCUAAUACCGGAUAAUAUAUUGAACCGCAUGGUUCAAUAGUGAAAGACGGUUUUGCUGUCACUUAUAGAUGGAUCCGCGCCGCAUUAGCUAGUUGGUAAGGUAACGGCUUACCAAGGCAACGAGGCGUAGCCGACCUGAGAGGGUGAUCGGCCACACGGGAACUGAGACACGGUCCAGACUCCUGCGGGAGGCAGCAGUAGGGAAUCUUCCGCAAUGGGCGAAAGCCUGACGGAGCAACGCCGCGUGAGUGAUGAAGGUCUUCGGAUCGUAAAACUCUGUUAUUAGGGAAGAACAAAUGUGUAAGUAACUAUGCACGUCUUGACGGUACCUAAUCAGAAAGCCACGGCUAACUACGUG